CACGUAGGGGGCAAGCGUUGUCCGGAUUUAUUGGGCGUAAAGGGUGCGUAGGCGGCGCGGUAAGUCGGGUGUGAAAUCUUGGAGCUUAACUCCGAAACUGCAUUCGAUACUGCCGUGCUUGAGGACUGGAGAGGAGACUGGAAUUUACGGUGUAGCGGUGAAAUGCGUAGAUAUCGUAAGGAAGACCAGUGGCGAAGGCGGGUCUCUGGACAGUUACUGACACUGAGGCACGAAGGCCAGGGGAGCAAACGGG
rnacentral:rRNA from 1 species